rnacentral:rRNA from 1 species
UACAGAGGGGGCAAGCGUUAUUCGGAAUUAUUGGGCGUAAAGGGCGCGUAGGCGGUUUUUUAAGUUCGGAUGUGCAAUCCCCGACGCUCAACUUGGGAACUGCAUCCGAGACUGGAAGGCUAGAGUACUGGAGAGGUUGGUGGAAUUCCACGUGUAGCGGUGAAAUGCGUAGAGAUGUGGAGGAACACCAGUGGCGAAGGCGGCCAACUGGACACAUAUUGACGCUGAGGCUCGAAAGCAUGGGGAGCCAACAGGAUUAGAUACCCCCUGUAGU